rnacentral:lncRNA from 1 species
CUGAGACCUCUAUAAAUGUCCCUUCUUUUCCUUCUCUUUAGAAUUCCAGUUGCAUCUGGAUGUGCCUUCUGCUUCCUACUGGGACCCUACCAGGCACAGUCUGCGAUGAGAAAAGGAGCUUGUACCAGAAUCAGCCUGCCUUGGCCUCCCAAAGUGCUGAGAUUGCAGCCUCUGCCUGGCCGCCACCCCGUCUGGGAAGUGAGGAGCAUCUCCGCCUGGCCGCCCAUCAUCUGGGAUGUGAGGAGCCCCUCUGCCUGGCUGCCCAGUCUGGAAAGUGAGGAGCGUCUCUGCCUGGCCGCCAUCCCAUCUAGGAAGUGAGGAGCGCCUCUUCCCGGCCACCAUCACAUCUGGGAAGUGAGGAGCGUCUCUGCCCGGCCGCCCAUCGUCUGAGAUGUGGGGAGCACCUCUGCCCUGCCGCCCCGUCCGGGAUGUGAGGAGCGUCUCUGCCUGGUCGCCCCGUCUGAGAAGUGAGGAGACCCUCUGCCUGGCAACCGCCCCGUCUGAGAAGUGAGGAGCCCCUCCGCCCGGCAGCCGCCCCGUCUGAGAAGUGAGGAGCCCCUCCACCCAGCAGCCACCCCGUCUGGGAGCCUGCACUCACCACUGGAACAUGUGGCGAAAGGAAAAAGGGACAAAGGAUGAAGGCAGCUGGCGGUAGGCUGGGUAGAUGCAGAAGGACCAUUCUGCCCUGUAAGAAGUGUGUGCUUUAUCCUGGGAGCAAUGAAAAGUCACUGAAGGAAGUUGGGCAGGAAAGAAGCAUGUUCAGAUUUGGUUUUCAAAAAGUCAUUCAAUCUGGAGUAUCCACAGUGGUGGCAGAGGAACCAAAGAGGGAACAGUUACAGCGACCCUGAAGAAAGAUGCUAAUGCCCAGAUAAAAAGAUAUUAAGGCUGGAGAAAGGAACCUGCUUCAGUGGUUGAGACUAGAACCUGGAAGAGAACUGGCUUAUGGCACUUACUUGCCUUAUUAACCUCCUUGAGCAUUUGUUUCUUUAUCAGUAAAACAAGGGUAAUAAUGGUACCUAUUCCAUAGAGUUUGUAUGAAGAUAAAAUAAAAUCUCACAUUUAAAAAGUUUUAUGUCUGGCUCACGGUGUGUGCUCACAGCGUAAGUGUCAACUAUUGUUAUUGUUGAAGAACUGUUGAGAACACUUAGGGACAACAAUAGUCAGGGUAGACUAAAGUGCCGUAGCUGAAAUCCUCAAAUUCGUAAUGGUUAAAACACAACAGGAUUUUAUUUUCUCAUAUACAUGGGAGUCCAAGGUGAGAGUCUCAGAUUUACAGACAGUCGCCUCCACAUGGUGAUUUAGGGCCCCUGGUGACUCCAGGGUCACCUGGAACUUUGUUAUUCUCUUCAUCCAGCCUGAGGAAAGGAAAAGGAUACAUCCACGUUUUUUGUUUUUUUGAGACGGAGUCUCACUCUGUCACCCAGGCUGGAGUGCAGUGCCGCGAUCUCGGCUCACUGCAAGCUCCGCUUCCCGGGUUCACGCCA